UUGUGUCUACUCCACGAAAUAGGCGCCGUCCGCUAAAAUGAAGGAGGAUAAACAACCGUCGGACUCACGGUGCGGCAGUGUGGAGACCUGUCGUAAUGCGUUCGCCGUUAUUACCCGGCGUUCGUGAGGGCAUAUAUUGAGGAUUCAGUAUGUCCGGAGUCAAGAAAGUAUGGCA
rnacentral:ncRNA from 1 species